UACGGGGGGGGCAAGCGUUGUUCGGAAUUACUGGGCGUAAAGGGCUCGUAGGCGGCCAACUAAGUCAGACGUGAAAUCCCUCGGCUUAACCGGGGAACGGCAUCUGAUACUGGAUGGCUGGAGUUCGGGAGAGGGAUGCGGAAUUCCAGGUGUAGCGGUGAAAUGCGUAGAUAUCUGGAGGAACACCGGUGGCGAAGGCGGCAUCCUGGACCGACACUGACACUGAGGAGCGAAAGCCAGGGGAGCAAACGGG
rnacentral:rRNA from 1 species